rnacentral:pre_miRNA from 15 species
AUCCUGUCUUUGAUAGCCAAGGAUGACUUGCCUAUGAUCUCUUCAAGAUCUCCAUUCGUUGAAUCAAAAUCUUUGUGUUGUUUCUAGGCAAUCUCCUUGGCUAAUCUAAGUGGCUCU